AGCGAACGCUGGCGGCAGGCUUAACACAUGCAAGUCGAGCGGGCACUUCGGUGUCAGCGGCAGACGGGUGAGUAACACGUGGGAACGUACCCUUUGGUUCGGAAUAACGCUGGGAAACUAGCGCUAAUACCGGAUACGCCCUUUUGGGGAAAGGCUUGCUGCCGAAGGAUCGGCCGGCGUCUGGUUAGCUAGUUGGUGGGGUAAUGGCCUACCAAGGCGACGAUCAGUAGCUGGUCUGAGAGGAUGAUCAGCCACACUGGGACUGAGACACGGCCCGACUACCUCGGGAGGGCGGCAGUGGGGAUAAUGGAACAUUGGGCGCAGGCUGAUCCCAUCAUGGCGGGAAAGUUGUUGAGGGCUUAGGGUUGUAAAGCUCUUUUGUCCGGGACGAUAAUGACGGUACCGGAAGAAUAAGCCCCGGCUAACUUCGUG
rnacentral:rRNA from 1 species